rnacentral:rRNA from 1 species
ACGAAGGGGGCUAGCGUUGUUCGGAAUUACUGGGCGUAAAGCGCACGUAGGCGGGUUUGUAAGUAGGGGGUGAAAUCCCAGGGCUCAACCCUGGAACUGCCUUCUAAACUGCAAGCCUGGAGGUCAGGAGAGGCGAGUGGAAUACCGAGUGUAGAGGUGAAAUUCGUAGAUAUUCGGUGGAACACCAGUGGCGAAGGCGACUCGCUGGACUGAUACUGACGCUGAGGUGCGAAAGCGUGGGGAGCAAACAGG